AUUGAACGCUGGCGGCAUGCCUUACACAUGCAAGUCGAACGGUAACGCGGGGCAACCUGGCGACGAGUGGCGAACGGGUGAGUAAUGCAUCGGAACGUGCCCAGUAGUGGGGGAUAGCCCGGCGAAAGCCGGAUUAAUACCGCAUACGACUUACGGGUGAAAGCGGGGGACCGUAAGGCCUCGCGCUGUUGGAGCGGCCGAUGUCAGAUUAGGUAGUUGGUGGGGUAAAGGCCUACCAAGCCUUCGAUCUGUAGCUGGUCUGAGAGGACGACCAGCCACACUGGGACUGAGACACGGCCCAGACUCCUACGGGAGGCAGCAGUGGGGAAUUUUGGACAAUGGGCGCAAGCCUGAUCCAGCCAUGCCGCGUGCGGGAAGAAGGCCUUCGGGUUGUAAACCGCUUUUGUCAGGGAAGAAACGCUCCGGGCUAAUACCCUGGGGUAAUGACGGUACCUGAAGAAUAAGCACCGGCUAACUACGUGCCAGCAGC
rnacentral:rRNA from 1 species